GAACGAACGCUGGCGGCGCGCCUAAUACAUGCAAGUCGAGCGAGAAGACGUAGCAAUACGUUUGUAAAGCGGCGAACGGGUGAGGAAUACAUGGGUAACCUACCCUCGAGUGGGGAAUAACUAGCCGAAAGGUUAGCUAAUACCGCGUACGCUCCUUGGACUUCGGUUCAGGGAGGAAAGCGAUACCGCGGGUAUCGCGCUCUUGGAUGGGCUCAUGUCCUAUCAGCUUGUUGGUGAGGUAACGGCUCACCAAGGCUUCGACGGGUAGCUGGUCUGAGAGGACGGAUCAGCCACACUGGCACUGCGACACGGGCCAGACUCCUACGGGAGGCAGCAGUAAGGAAUAUUGCGCAAUGGGCGAAAGCCUGACGCAGCGACGCCGCGUGGGGGA
rnacentral:rRNA from 1 species